UUCUCUCUGAAUUUUUUUCUCUGAGGGGGGGCUCACUCUCUCACACUUUGAAACCCCCUGGUUUAAUGCAUGUCCAGUCUGCACGAGGGCAUGUGAAGUGACAACCCAAAGGCUGGGGACAUUCCUGUCUGUGAAGCAGCAGUGCCCCCAUUGCACAUUCGGAAGACGCUGGAAUAGCCAGCCUAUCCUUGGGAGCACGCCAGCUGGAAAUCUGCACCUUUCUGCCGCUGUGUACCUGAGUGAUGCAUCUUUCCUAAAAAUCAAAAAGGUAAAUGAUGUGCAACUGUAAAUUUGUGACUGAAUUGCUUCAAUAUAGAUCUAAUUACAUGUAUUAUUAAUCCCACCAAAAGGUCUUCGAGGCAAUGAAGCUACAGUUGUUUCGGUAUGAAACAUUUCGCCGCCAUGCCAAAAGUUUCAUUGAACCAGCAGUUAUUCACCAGUGGAAAGUCCUAAAUAAUUUGAAUCUGCAGCGGCUAAGUCAGGAGGAAAUAGUGAUACUUGGUGGUGACAUGAGAGCUGAAUCUACAGCAGAGCAACGAAGUUGGUGGUAGCGCCCAUAUGGAGAAGGAGGGACUGAAGAGGAGUCUAGCCUUACUGGAGUCGCGUGGCGUCCACCUUGACUGCAUUGUCACUGAUCGUCAUCCUCAAGGACAGAAGUUCCUCAGGGAGAGAAACAUAACCCAAUACUACGAUGUCUGGCACUUUGCAAAAGGUAUUUCAAAGAAGCUGUUAGCAAUCAGUAUGCAGACUGACUGUGAGAAACUCAAGAAGUGGAUGAAGAGCAUCAACAACCACAUAUACUGGACUGCAGCUGGCUCAACCUCCGGGCCAGAGAGAAUCGCAAAGUGGACCUCGAUCUAUGGACAAGAUGUCCAUGUACAUGAAGAUCCUCUUUACCCCAAGUUCGAGCAUGCGAUCCGCCAGACAAGUGACCGGAGUAAAUGGC